AUUGAACGCUGGCGGCAUGCCUUACACAUGCAAGUCGAACGGCAGCGGGCCUUCGGGUGCCGGCGAGUGGCGAACGGGUGAGUAAUGCAUCGGAACGUGCCAUUGAGUGGGGGGAUAACGUAGCGAAAGUUACGCUAAUACCGCAUAUUCUGUGAGCAGGAAAGCAGGGGACCGCAAGGCCUUGCGCUCUUUGAGCGGCCGAUGUCAGAUUAGCUAGUUGGUGAGGUAAAGGCUUACCAAGGCGACGAUCUGUAGCGGGUCUGAGAGGAUGAUCCGCCACACUGGAACUGAGACACGGUCCAGACUCCUACGGGAGGCAGCAGUGGGGAAUUUUGGACAAUA
rnacentral:rRNA from 1 species